rnacentral:tRNA from 1 species
GAAGAUAUAGCUCCAUGGUAGAGCGCAUGCAUGGAAUGCAUGAAGUCCUGAUUCAAUCCCCAUUAUCUCCA